CCUACGGGAGGCAGCAGUGAGGAAUAUUGGACAAUGGGAGAGAUCCUGAACCAGCGAAGCCGCGUGAGGGAAGACGGCCCUAUGGGUUGUAAACCUCUUUUGCCGGAGAACAAAACCCGGGACGUGUCCCGUACUGCGUGUAUCCGAAGAAAAAGCAUCGGCUAACACCGUUCCAGCAGCCGCGGUAAUACUGAGGAUGCACGCGUUAUCCGGAUUUCUUGGGUUUAAAGGCUGCGUAGCCGGUCCGUUAAGUCAGCGGUAAAAGUGCGGGGCUAAACCCCGUCGAGCCGUUGAAACUGGAAGACUGGAGUGGGCGAGAAGUACGCGGAAUGCGCGGUGUAGCGGUGAAAUGCGUAGAGAUCGCGCAGAACGCCGAUGGCGAAGGCAGCGUACCGGCGCCAGACUGACGCUGAGGCACGAAAGCGUGGGGAGCGAACAGGAUUAGAUACCCCAGUAGUC
rnacentral:rRNA from 1 species